rnacentral:misc_RNA from 1 species
AUCAAAGCUCCUGUUCAUCUCGUUUGGUCGCUGGUGAGGCGAUUCGAUCAGCCACAGAAGUACAAGCCAUUUGUGAGUAGGUGCGUUGUGAAUGGGGAGAGUGGAGAGCCUGGGAUAGGAAGUGUUAGGGAAGUGAAUGUUAAAUCUGGACUUCCUGCAACCACUAGCACCGAGAUGCUGGAACUCCUUGACGAUGAGGAGCACAUUCUCGGAAUCAAGAUUGUUGGUGGUGAUCAUAG